CCAGGGGGUGUGUAGUGUCAGGGCAGUGAUGUGUGAUACCAAGCACUGAUGGGUCUAUCGAUGGAGCAGUGGAAAAAAGCAUGCCCAAUCCUGUCGAAAACCCAUUUGCCCAUUGGAAAAUUGGUCCAAAGUUUCAUGUACGUCUGAUCCAGAGCUAUCCAUGCAUCACAAGACCCGAAUAUGUAUAGCAUGUGACUGGAUUCUGGUUCUGCUGCACAGCCCAGAUGCAUCCAUAGCAUCAAGCUAUCGUCUUUUCGAGGCUGCAGCUUUUGAGUUGCUGCAUCUUCACACAUCAAUCAGUCAAAAUCUUCUCAUCUUUCUUCAGUCUCCUUUCUCUGUCAUGCCAUGGCACACAUUCAAUCGAUCUCUGCAAUCUUUUGAUCAAAUUAAUCAUGUGCGCAUUUUAACUCACAUGCUGAUGUUGUUGUUUCAGUACUGUGGUAAACGAGUAUGUGGGAGCAGUGAGGCAGCUUGCAUGUGAGAUCC
rnacentral:lncRNA from 1 species